rnacentral:rRNA from 1 species
AGCAACAAAUGCCCUGCUUCCAGGAAAAGCCUCUAAGCCUCAGGUAACAUCAGAUCGUACCCGAAACCGACACAGGUGGUCAGGUAGAGAAUACCAAGGCGCUUGAGAGAACCCGGGUGAAGGAACUAGGCAAAAUGGUGCCGUAACUUCGGGAGAAGGCACGCUGACACGUAGGUGAAGCGGUUUACCCGUGGAGCUGAAGUCAGUCGAAGAUACCAGCUGGCUGCAACUGUUUAUUAAAAACACAGCACUGUGCAAACACGAAAGUGGACGUAUACGGUGUGACGCCUGCCCGGUGCCGGAAGGUUAAUUGAUGGGGUCAGCGCAAGCGAAGCUCCUGAUCGAAGCCCCGGUAAACGGCGGCCGUAACUAUAACGGUCCUAAGGUAGCGAAAUUCCUUGUCGGGUAAGUUCCGACCUGCACGAAUGGCGUAAUGAUGGCCAGGCUGUCUCCACCCGGGACUCAGUGAAAUUGAACUCGCUGUGAAGAUGCAGUGUACCCGCGGCAAGACGGAAAGACCCCGUGAACCUUUACUAUAGCUUGACACUGAACACUGGUCCUUGAUGUGCAGGAUAGGUGGGAGGCUUUGAAGUGUGGACGCCAGUCUGCAUGGAGCCGUCCUUGAAAUACCACCCUUUAAUGGCUGGUGUUCUAACGUAGACCCGUGAACCGGGUUGCGGACAGUGUCUGGUGGGUAGUUUGACUGGGGCGGUCUCCUCCUAAAGCGUAACGGAGGAGCACGAAGGUUGGCUAAUCCUGGUCGGACAUCAGGAGGUUAGUGCAAUGGCAUAAGCCAGCUUGACUGCGAGCGUGACGGCGCGAGCAGGUGCGAAAGCAGGUCAUAGUGAUCCGGUGGUUCUGAAUGGAAGGGCCAUCGCUCAACGGAUAAAAGGUACUCCGGGGAUAACAGGCUGAUACCGCCCAAGAGUUCAUAUCGACGGCGGUGUUUGGCACCUCGAUGUCGGCUCAUCACAUCCUGGGGCUGAAGUAGGUCCCAAGGGUAUGGCUGUUCGCCAUUUAAAGUGGUACGCGAGCUGGGUUUAGAACGUCGUGAGACAGUUCGGUCCCUAUCUGCCGUGGGCGCUGGAGAACUGAGGGGGGCUGCUCCUAGUACGAGAGGACCGGAGUGGACGCAUCACUGGUGUUCGGGUUGUCAUGCCAAUGGCACUGCCCGGUAGCUAAAUGCGGAAGAGAUAAGUGCUGAAAGCAUCUAAGCACGAAACUUGCCCCGAGAUGAGUUCUCCCUGAGACUUUAGUCUCCUGAAGGAACGUUGAAGACGACGACGUUGAUAGGCCGGGUGUGUAAGCGCAGCGAUGCGUUGAGCUAACCGGUACUAAUGAACCGUGAGGCUUAACCUU